rnacentral:rRNA from 1 species
UACAGAGGUCUCAAGCGUUGUUCGGAAUCACUGGGCGUAAAGGGUGCGUAGGCGGCACGGUAAGUCAGAGGUGAAAUCCCGGAGCUCGACUUCGGAAUUGCCUCCGAUACUGCCGUGCUUGAGGACUGGAGAGGAGAUUGGAAUUCACAGUGGAGCAGUGAAAUGCGUAGAUAUUGUGAGGAACACUAGUGGCGAAGGCGAAUCUCUGGACAGUUCCUGACGCUGAGGCACGAAGGCCAGGGGAGCAAACGGG